CAAUAGCGUAUAUUAAAGUUGUUGCGGUUAAAAGCUCGUAGUUGGAUUUCUGCCGAGGACGACCGGUCCGCCCUCUGGGUGAGUAUCUGGCUUGGCCUGGGCAUCUUCUUGGAGAACGUAUCUGCACUUGACUGUGUGGUGCGGUAUCCAGGACUUUUACUUUGAGGAAAUUAGAGUGUUCAAAGCAGGCUAUUGCUUGAAUACAUGAGCAUGGAAUAAUGGAAUAGGACUUUGGUCCCAUUUUGUUGGUUUCUAGGGCCGAAGUAAUGAUUAAGAGGGACAAUUGGGGGGCAUCCGUAUUUCGUUGUCAGAGGUGAAAUUCUUGGAUUUACGAAAGACGAACAACUGCGAAAGCACUUGCCAAGAGUGUUUUCUAUUAAUCAAGAACGAAAGUUAGAGGAUCGAAGAUGAUCAGAU
rnacentral:rRNA from 1 species